rnacentral:rRNA from 1 species
GGAAUAUUGCACAAUGGGCGAAAGCCUGAUGCAGCGACGCCGCGUGAGGGAUGACGGCCUUCGGGUUGUAAACCUCUUUCAGCAGGGACGAAGCGCAAGUGACGGUACCUGCAGAAGAAGCACCGGCUAACUACGUGCCAGCAGCCGCGGUAAUACGUAGGGUGCAAGCGUUGUCCGGAAUUACUGGGCGUAAAGAGUUCGUAGGCGGUUUGUCGCGUCGUUUGUGAAAACCAGCAGCUCAACUGCUGGCUUGCAGGCGAUACGGGCAGACUUGAGUACUGCAGGGGAGACUGGAAUUCCUGGUGUAGCGGUGAAAUGCGCAGAUAUCAGGAGGAACACCGGUGGCGAAGGCGGGUCUCUGGGCAGUAACUGACGCUGAGGAACGAAAGCGUGGGUAGCGAACAGGAUUAGAUACCCCGG